rnacentral:rRNA from 1 species
CCUACGGGGGGCAGCAGUGAGGAAUAUUGGUCAAUGGCCGGAAGGCUGAACCAGCCAUGCCGCGUGAAGGUCAGUGCCCUAUGGGCGUUAAACUUCUUUUGUGCGGGAGCAAUAAUGGUCACGUGUGGCCAGACGAGAGUACCGUACGAAUAAGCAUCGGCUAAAUCCGUGCCAGCAGCCGCGGUAAUACGGGGGAUGCAAGCGUUAUCCGGAUUUAUUGGGUUUAAAGGGUGCGUAGGCUGUGAGGUAAGUCAGCGGGGAAAUGCCCCCGCUCAACGGGGUGAAGUGCCAUUGAUACUGCCUUGCUGGAAGGCGGAUGCCGUGGGAGGAAUGUGUGGUGUAGCGGUGAAAUGCAUAGAUAUCACACAGAACACCGAUUGCGAAGGCAUCUCACGAAUCCGCGAUUGACGCUGAUGCACGAAAGCGUGGGUAUCAAACAGGAUUAGAUACCCCUGUAGUC